UCGUUAAGGUAAAUACUCUCAUGCAGGUGA
rnacentral:piRNA from 1 species